GGGGGUUUAGCUCAGUGGUAGAGCGCUUGCCUAGGAAGCGCAAGGCCCUGGGUUCAGUCCCCA
rfam:Rattus norvegicus chromosome 13, whole genome shotgun sequence.